CCCGGGCCGCGGGCGCGCUGGGAGGAAGGAAGGGCCCAGGGUGCAGGUGACUCCGGCAAUGGCGCGGGGGCGGAGGAUGCGGGCGGCCGGGCGUGGCACGACUCGCCCAGGCUCCGCUUCCCGACCCGGCCCCGGAGCGAUGGGUCCGCUAGGGCUCGGCGCCCUGAUUUGGCGGGGACCGGGGCAAAGCACCCAGUACUAAGGACUCAGCGAGUCCCACUCGCCAAGAGUCGAUUUUCAUCCUCACCACAGACUUGGGAGGGAGGCAUCAUUUUGCUAAUGAGAAAACGGAGGCUCAGAGGGGUGAGCCGAUUUGCCCGAGGUCACACAGGAAGAGGCGGAAUUCCUAGCGAGUAAGCUGGACACAAAAACUGCCGAGACAAGAGCUGGUGAACUUGCUCACACUACAUCGUGUUUGACUGACAAGGCUCCCAGGGCUCAGCACCUUUGAAGGUGUGCACGUCAUCACCCUAAAGUCAAACCACGGGCGCCAGCUGGAGGGGGUGCAGACCACAGAUGGGAAGACUGGACCGCUCGAAGUUACAGCACUGCCGUUCGAAGCCACGCAAGAAAUCGGGGCAGGGACGGGGGCAGCAUGGGUGCCGGGUGGAGGUGCAGAGAGAGCACUGGGUGGUUCCUGGGCCCUGGGUUCUAGUCCCAGUCCAGCUAGCCACUGACUGUGUAACCUGGGACGACUCCCCUGCCUCCAUUUCCUCAUCUGCACAGUGAGGGUUUGGGCAGAAUUCCCCCAGCUUUGACUCAUGGCAGGGCCCUACUUGGGGGCUCCAUGCUGCCCAGUGGAUGCUCCCUGCCACCCCUGGCUCUUCAGGAGGCAGCAAGGGGAAGAGCAGGAUGGGAAAACACAGCCCCAAACAGUCUGUCUCCUCGUCCCCCACCUCCCACUGCCCCACGGCCCUCAACUCUGAUCUCACCUCUCCGGAGGCUGAGGGUGACGAGAACAGUCUGUUUGGCAGGUCACGGGGAGAGGCGGGCAGAGCUGUGCUCACCAGCUGCAGCCAGGCCUCAGAGCAGCAUCCGUAGGUCCCACCCCCGCACAUAUCUCUCCCGCCUCCAGGACCCUGGAGACCCUCCAGGCCUGGCUGACUGGACAUAUCCUCAGCUGUCUGACUCCUGCUCCUGGAAGCCCUGCUCUUUCAGCCUGGCCUGGCCCUUUCAAACCGGAAGGAUCUCUUCCCACAGAGAUCACUGGGGCCAAACCAUCAUUUGCCCAGGGAAAGACAUUGACCUUUUCAGUCCCAGCAAAUGAGAAGCAUGGCCGAGGGUUCUGACCCCAGGAUCGCCCACCUACCCAGGUCCCCAAGCCAGAAGGUGGCUCCUGCAGAGCCCCUCUUCUUAAGGCCCCACCAUGCACACAGAUGACCCCAUGGCAAUGCCAACUUUGGUCUGGAUGAUUCUAGGGCUCUUCUGAGGAACGAAGCCCAUCUGCAACCUGCUUCACCCUCCCAUCCCCACCGUGUGUACCCACACCCAUGACCCAACUACCGAGUCUGCCUGCUUCUGGUCAGUCAGGGGGUCUUGGCCUCUGCUUGGUUCUGACUCCUCAGGCUCCUCUGGUUGGAACUGGAGAUUAAAAAAAGAACACAGCUUAGCCCAACUUAUUCUCCAGGGUGUAUGCAUCUGUCCACCUCAUCCAUCCAUUCUAUCAUCUGUCCAUGCAACACCCAUCUAACGUCCAGCAUCAGUAGAUCCAUGUAUCCAUCCAACCAUCCAGUGUCUAUCACAUGACUCACCCUCUCAUGUAUCCAUCAACCAUUGUCUAUCACCCAUUCAUGUAUCUACCCUCCAUUGAUCCAUCACGUAUCCAUUUACCCAAUACCUAUAUAUCCUUCUCUCCAUCCAUCAUCCAUCUACCCAUAUCUCCAACAUCUGUCCACUAUCUGUCAUCCGACAUUCAUCCAUCCAUGCCACAUCUAUUCAUCCAUAUUCCACCCAACGUUCAUCCAUCCAUCACCUAAGCAACAUCCAUCAUAUAUCCACCACCACCAUAUAUUCAUCACCCAGCUAUCCAUCCGUCAUCACCCAUCUGUCAUCCAUCCAAAAGGUGUCUAUUAUUCAUUCAACAUGCAUCAUUGAUCCAUCACCGGUUCACACAUUCACCCUCCAUUCAUCUAUUGUCCACCCACUGACCCCUGUGUCCUCCAUCUUGCAUGCAUCCACUGAGCUGUCCCCUCCUUUAUGUCAGUCCCUGGGCCAGAGCUAGAGUUACAGAGAUAAAGCAGGUAGAGAUCCUGCCUCUGUGGAGCUUAUGGGGAAAUGACAACCCCAUUAGAUGGAUGUUGCAUGGACAAAUGGAAGCAAAACUGCCAAGCCCAGAAGGGGACCAUUACUAGGAGUGACUGUUCAGGGAAGGCUUUUCAGGACAGGGAGCCUGACCUAAGACUUCGACAAUGAACAGGCGUUUGGUGGCUGAACAGGGAAGGGAAGAGCAUGUGCAAAGGCAGGGAUAUGUGCUCACAGGCCCUGCAGCCAGCUCAGCACCAAUGAGGCAAAUCGGGAGUGGAAGGAAGGGAAGCCGGCCUUGAGUGCCAUGCCAAGGACUUUUUUUUUUUUUUUGAGAUGGAGUCUCGCUCUGUCACUCAGGCUGGAGUUGCAGUGAGCCGAGAUUGCGCGAUUGCACUCCAGCCUGGGCAACAAGAGCGAAACUCC